rnacentral:rRNA from 1 species
UACGAAGGGGGCUAGCGUUGCUCGGAAUCACUGGGCGUAAGGGGUGCGUAGGCGGGUCUUUUAAGUCAGGGGUGAAAUCCUGGAGCUCAACUCCAGAACUGCCUUUGAUACUGAAGAUCUUGAGUUCGGGAGAGGUGAGUGGAACUGCGAGUGUAGAGGUGAAAUUCGUAGAUAUUCGCAAGAACACCAGUGGCGAAGGCGGCUCACUGGCCCGAUACUGACGCUGAGGCACGAAAGCGUGGGGAGCAAACAGG